rnacentral:lncRNA from 1 species
AUGGAAGCUGGGGAGGAGAAGAAAAGAGGAACUCUAGCAAUCACGGGGUAGGAACCUACUGGACAUCGCCGGAAAUCGCUCCGGGCACCAACGGCAAGGUUCGGGUGAGGGAGGAAGCAAGGGAGAAAGACAACGAAAAUAAGAAGCAGCCAAACAAGACCUUUAGGGCGACCUCGAGGGGUUUAUAUAGGCCCCCCUGACGGCCCAGAUCAACGGGGUCGGUUCCCAUCCCCCGAUCGGGUUGCGCCACGUGUCGACCUCGGAAGCCGAGGCACCGUAUUCACUCCGGAUUAAUAAAUCGGGUACGAAAUCGAAGCGUUGUCCCAUCGGAUCUCGGGGCCUCAUCAUGGGUCCGCAAAAUCAAAUCGUCUUGAGGAACGAGCGGACGCCGCCCCCGCUCCCCUCAUUUAAUAAGAUCUGGGAACGUGGAGCCCCGAUGUGGCCUCCACCUCCCUGGAAUUAUGAUCCAGUAACACGAAAGCGGGAGCGUCCGACCUUAGGUCAUGCCGCGUGUCCGCUUUAGACCCCGCAACGGCACACUCAUUGAUGAGUAAGGGGUCUCGAUUACGGGAUCGAGACACCGCCUCGACGAGCUUGAGGACCCCCAUCCUUAACCCGCCGCAAAGCAACCUCGGCAAUUCGAGAGAUGCCACCCCCGCUUCAAGAAGCGUAAUGAUACGAGCUUCAUCAUAAGCUCGCUGAAUAAAGCAGCCUCGAGACGCCAAAGGGCGCAGGUUUCACCAUGAAAGCUCCGAGAAGCGCAAGGACGCGGACGAGAUUCGCCCCCCUCCCAACUUUAAUGAUAGACUUUACUUUCCACGUCCGAGCCCACAAGCCGCUCGAACUCGAAAGUCGGGGGGUAGUGUUGGGGGGAACAAGAUUUUUUCCCAAAUGAUGCAAAUGUCCCUAAGGAGCCGCACGACCUCCGACCCUGGACGGCCGAAGUCGGCGUCCGACCUCGGGACGCCCGACCUCAAGACGACCGACCUCGAGACCUCCGAUCUGAGAAAAACCCCGAUGUUCGAGGUCUACUCUUGUCAGCCACCUACUAUGGCCG